rnacentral:rRNA from 1 species
AUGGGCUCCGUGGCGGUGCCGCCGUGCCACGUCGUGGCCAUGCCGUUCCCUGGCCGCGGUCACGUCAACGCCAUGCUGAACCUGUGCCGCCUCCUCGCCGCCCGUGACGGCGUCUCGGCCACCGUCGUCGUCACCGAGGAGUGGCUCGGCCUGCUCGGCGGCCCCGCGCUCGCGCCCGGCGUACGCCUCGAGGCCGUCCCCAACGUCAUCCCCUCCGAGCACGGCCGCGCCGCCGACUGGGUCGGGUUCGUGGACGCCGUGUACACCAAAAUGGAGGCGCCGUUCGAGCGCCUCCUCGACCGUCUCGGGGCCGCGCCCGCGGCCAUUGUGACCGACACGUUCGUGCCGGGGGCGGUGCGCGCCGGCAACCGGAGGGGCGUCCCUGUGUGCAUCCUCUCGGCGCUCGGCGCCACCAUGUUCUCCGUGCAGUACCGCUUCGAUCGGUUGCCCACGGCUGCCGGCGGUAGCGCUGACAUGGCCGAUGUCACUGAUCCUUGUCUGAUGGAAAACUACAUUCCUGGACUCAAGUCGAUCCGGCUUGCCGAUCUUGAGCCCACGCACUCCGACAAGAUUAGGCUGGACAAAAUUCUUGAAGCAUACCCUUACGUGAGGAAAGCGCAAUGUGUCAUCUUCACCUCCUUCUACGAGCUCGAGAGCAACGCCAUUGACUUUCUAAGGCAAGAGCUCCCUUGCCCUGUGUUUGCCGUUGGUCCUUGCAUCCCCUUCAUGGCACUCCAAGAAAACCAGGCCAAUCCAGAGGAAGAAAGCUACAUGGCUUGGCUGGACACACAGCCUGCGAGCUCAGUGCUCUACGUCUCACUCGGCAGCUUCCUCUCAGUGUCGGCCACCCAGCUCGACGAGAUCGCCAUUGGCCUUGCCCAGAGCAAGGUCAGGUUCCUCUGGGUGCUCCGCGACAAGUGCUCCCGAGUGCAGGAUUUGAUCCGUGGAAGCGACGGCGUGGUCGUUCCGUGGUGUGACCAGCUCAAAAUCCUGUGCCAUCCAUCCAUUGGUGGGUUCUUCACCCACUGCGGCAUGAACUCGACGCUGGAGGCGCUGUACGCCGGCGUGCCGAUGCUGACCCUGCCGAUAGCCUUCGACCAGCCGAUCAACAGCCGGCUGAUCGUCGAUGAGUGGAAGGUUGGGUACAGCCUCAAGGAGAAGGCCCGGGCCGACGGCGUCAUUGGUAGAGGGGAAAUCGCUGGAGCCGUGAAGAGGCUGGUGAACUGUGGUGAUGGCGAGGGCACGAGGAGGAGAGCUUCUGUGCUGAAGGAGGCUUCUCGCGCCGCCGUUGAAGUGGGUGGUUCCUCUGACAGAGAUAUGGUGUCUUUCAUCAAUUACAUUUCACAUUUCAAGGACUGA